UGGUUGGUGAAAUUGGCACUAGUGUGGAUACACUAAAGAAGGGCUAGCCAAUUUCACUAGAGAGAACCAAGUAAUCAUAUUCUCUAAAGUAUUCCAAGGUGUCUUGGUGAUUUGUGAUUCCACUUGAGGCUUCCACACUAUUGGGGCUAAGCUCUUAAAGCUUGAAGACAUCAAGCUACAUCAAGAGGUAUGUAUUCUAUCUUGUUACAUUCAUAGUUUUUGUAUGCUAGAUUAGGAUAAUACCUUGGAUGUUCUUAUUUGCAUGUAUAAUAGAGAAAACAUAGAUCCAAGGUAUUUAGGGUUGCAUGUACACUUAGGAAGUGUUAGAAUGCUCAAAACCCAACAGUGGUAUCAGAGCCACGGGUUGUUUUCUGUUAUAUUGAUGCAAAUAUUUUAUUUUCAAAGUUGAAAAAAAAAAAAAAAAAAAACAUGAAGUUUGUCAAAUUUUAAGAUAAUUACUUGUUCUUGUGAAAAACUAAUUAUUUGUAAAAUUUGAAUAAUUUGCUUUAUGAGUUGAAUUAGGUCAAAUUUAAUAAAAGAUAAAAUAAUAUGAUUAUUUUAUUAGUUUUAAAAGUUUGAUCUAAAGAGUUUUAUUUUUUGAAACCUCCAUAAGUUAUGGAUAUGAAAAGGUUUUAAAAAAAAAAUUGAUUCAAAGUUUUUUUGGAGUUACAAAAUUUGGUGUUAAUGUUUUAAAGGAUUCCAUAACUUAAGAAUAAGUUAUGGAUCACCAAAAGUUUUUUGUGUUACCUUGUUUUAUGAGUGAAUUUAGAUUAAUGAAUAAAAUUAUGUGAUAGUUGGUUUUAAUCCAAAUUAAUCUAAGAAUUGAUUCUAAAAUGUGUUUUUGUAACUUGUCCUCAAGUUAUAUGAAAAGUCACAUUUAAGAAUCAUAAAACUCAUAAAAAUUGGCAAAGGUUACAAAAAUGAAGAGUCUAGUUCUAAUUAAAUGGUUUUAUGACUCCAUAACUUGUCCUCAAGUUAUGGAGGACCAAGAGUCUCUUCAUUUAAUAAAAUAAAAUAAAAAAAAAAAAAGUGUAACCUUAAUUAAUUCCAUAAGUUAUAAAAUAAAGAAAAGUUAAUUCUUUUAUUAGUUUAAAGUCUUCCAUAACUUGUCCUCAAGUUAUGGAACUUGAAGAGUUUUUGGAUUAAAACUACUUUAAACACAUAAGUUAUGGAAUUAAUUAGUUUUGAAUAGUUUCAAAACUUGCCCUCAAGUUUUGGAAUUUGUAAAGUUUUCACUUAUGAAUACUUUAAUUCCAAGUUAGCCCUUAGAAUUUUAAAAGUUAAAAUUCAACCCUUAUACUUUAUAAUAUUAUAAGUUAAUAAUAUAUAUAUGUAUAAGAGUAAAGUCAGUCUUACCGCUAGUACGCCUCAUUCACGAAGCCGGUCUAUAAGGUGGGUAUAAGGUUGUUGCCUAUAAAAUGGCAACUUAAUGGGUGUCCACUCUCACCCACCGCUUGCUUGACUGGUGGAGGGUCGUUAGCCGAACGGGUUUGACAGGACUAGAAUUCUCCCUUCAUUAAAAGUAUUAAUGAUAAUACUAAGUAACUAAACUCUUAAUAAUACCCAAUCUUAGUUACUUAGGAAAAAUGUGAAUAAGGUGCUAAUCCAUGAAAUUACACUUUACACUUUGUCUAAGUCGUUAGUGGAGCGUGUGUGGUUAACCGGCACACUAACUUGGACUUAACAAGGUAGGUAAAGGGUGACUUAAUAUUUAUCAUAGUAUCGAUGGAGCGUGUGUGGUUAACCGGCACAUCGAUUGAGGGGUAAUUUAUUAAGGGUACCAAGUGAUUUGCAUGGUUACUUCACACCUUGUUUUGUGAUCCUCGGCAUCCCAGUCACAAAACCUGAAGGGCACACUCGAGAUUGAAACAUGCCUUUGAAAAGUUCAAUGAAUCUCAAAGAUCUAGGAGUUUCAAAACCAAUUAAAACCUAAUAAUACAUUUCGUUUAUCUUGGUGGAAAUUGGUGAAUCGUCAUUCACCUACCUUCAAAUAUUUUAUAGCUUGGAUUACGGCAUACCUCUUCUAAGUUAUAAAAUAGUUUGUUGGGUCCUAGCCUUAAUAUUUCAUAUUGGGUGUCAUAUUAAGGACUUUAAAUCAACUAUCUUGAAUAUCUCCCAAAAGAUGUCUGGUUUAGACACCUAUGAUCUUCCCAAAUCUCUUGAAACAAGGUUUCCUAAUGAAGAUGAUGUCCCAUGGAUAUCAUACUUCUUCACCUCUUCAAAUUAUUCUCCCUAACCCACAAGUUCUUGAAAAGUUUAAGGUCACUCAGGCCCUUUUGGCAAGGCAAGGUCUAGGUGUGGUCACAUCUUGGAGAUGUAGUCACAUAUUGACAAGCCGGGAGAGUUGGGUGUCAAAGUCUUGAGAAAGUUGGUGGUUCAACUACUUUCUAAGUCACAUAGUGAGUUCUUUUGGAACACCUAUGAAAAAGACUAUGACAAGACCCUUAAUGAUCUUAUCUAUUUGUUAAGAUCAACUUCCUAAAACUUUAUGGACAUUGACAAUGAUGACAUUGGAUAUCCAGUAAAGCAUUCUCUUCCCAAUGGAAAGGGAUCGGCUAUAGUCAACUCGGUUGACCAAAUGGUAAAGAGAAAAGCUAAGUCUGUGAUAGUCCUGUGUACCAUUAUCAAAGGGUCCAUAUGUUUGUAUUGCCAAAGAAAGGGCAUUGGUUGCGAAGCUGCCAAAUUUACCUAAGGAUGUUAAAGUCAAUAAGUUUGACUCUACUUCAGGUAAAAUCCACUAUCUAACUCUGUUAAGUUUCUAUUCUGAGAUUCUUGAUACAUGAUGUGACCGGGUCGCAUGGUGAUGGUUUAAGAAUCAAAGGAAAGUGAAGAAACUUAAAGGAAGAAUAUGCUGAAUCUGAUCGCAUAGAUGGAUUUCUAUCGCAUAGUUUGAAAAAUCGGAUUCUUGAGCUACUUCUUAGGAGUUAUGAGAUAUUGCUUAGGAAUAGAUAACAACAAGUUUUCAUAUGGAUUGUAAGGAUAGUUUUUCCGCAAAGUUUUAAAAUAAAAGGAAAUUUUUGAUUUUAUUUAUUUUAAAAUAUCCUUACAAUGGCAUCUGUGGAAAUUUUUGUUGCUUAUAAGAUUCCAUUAGUAGCAAGAGUGGAAGUAUGAAAUUGAUUCUUUCAUUUGUGGUAAUGUCUAAAUUUACCAAAUAAGGAAAGAUUCUCAUCACCCAAGUUUCAAUUGGACCGGAACUUGGAAUCAUGCAAGUUGUAUAGCAUGAUGAAUGAGAACUUUCAAGUUUUGGAAAAUUAAGACUAAUUACUUGUUCACAUGGAUGUGUGAGUCAAGUAAAGGACUUAGGGAUCGAGUACACAUUCUUGUGCACUGAUUAAGUCCACCACUAAAGAUCGAUAAGAAGAAUCAAAUAAGGCAGAAGGAUAAAAGUUUCUCAAAUCUGAAAAGAUGGGAGAGUACUUUAGUAUCAGUUUUGUGAUCAUCUUAAUGAUUAAGAAACCAUAUCAAAAUUAGUUCUCUAAGGAAAUCUUAGUGCAUUCUUAUGACUAAGAAGAGGAACUUGAAUUGUUGAAAUGGUUAAAUCAAGAAGAUGAGUCAUACUUCGUUCCAAUACAAGUCUUAGAGUCAUACUCCAAGAUUGUCAUUUGAGUGACAUGUCUUAAAGAAGGUUUAAAACACUUGUCAAAUGUAAGAGUAAAAGUUUUCUACUCUUGUACAUUUGAAAUUGGUAAGUUGUGAUGUUUUGGAUAAAACAAAGACCAACUUAGGCCAAUUGGGUAAAGUGUUUUUCUUGAUUAGAAUCCGCACUAUCUCUUGGAUGUUUGACAAGGGAGUCUUAUAUGUCAAGAGGACAGUGGGAGUCUUAAAGGUCUUGAAAGUCUCAAGAACUAAUCAAGAAUAAAACCUGAAGUUCUUCACUAGCACACGACUUGAGGUUUAUAACCUAUCGUGUUGACAUAUUCUGUGCCCAUUCCAGUUAAAGUUGGUUUUGCAUAUGAGUUCUUAGAGUUCUCAAUUUGUUGCACAACAACUUGGAAGCAAUGGUAGGCCCUUGAGCUGCCAGGUGGCAAGAAAUUAAGAUUGAGUUCAGUCCAUAUGAGUUUGGAUUUGUCAUUAUCCUUGUCUUGUGACUAUGGUUUUGACAAUUCACAUGGAUAAGAACACAUACACCAUUAAAUCUAAGUGUCAUAAGGUUUCUCUCCGAUUCAUGAAAAUGAUGGUGAGGAAACACUUUCACUAAGUAGAUUUUAGCUAGAUAGCAAUUGUGAUAUUUGCAUUCUCAAAGUCGUUAGUGGAGCGCGUGUGGUUAACCGGCACACUAAUUUGGACUUGUGAGAAGUGGCAAAAAGGUCUAAACAUUAUGAUUACGGCAUCCCUCUUCAUAAUUGUUUAGAUACACAAGUGUGCUAUCUAAGGGAAGGUGUAUGAUUUUGAUAAAGUUUUAUCAAAACAAUCUAGCAUCAGAAAUCUGAACUUUGGUAAGAAAGUCAAUGAAGUAUUGAUUUCUAGAAGUCCAGCUGAUUUCUGAGUACAUGUCAAAGCUAGUGGGAGCAUAAGUGUUAUGCUAAUAAUCAUCAUGUUAGUGGGAGCAUGAUAAUUAUGAUAAGUAUUGCAAGUUAGCAAUGUUAAUUAUAGAAAACAAAAGUUUCAAUUGGGAAAAAGUUGUUUUGCUAUAAUUAAGGGAGAGGAAAUUAUACUUCAUCUCAAAUCUAUAAGCUUAGAUCGUGAGGUUUUAAUCAUUUAGUCAAGGAUAUAUAUGAAUUUCAUGUUGGAAUGGCUCAACAUAAGGAAAUUCUGUAUAUGGGUCCAUUAUUUGCGUUCUAAAAUUCGAUUAUGAUUACGGCAUCCCUUUUCAUAAUCUGAAUUAUGAGAACUUGGCAAAUUGAAAUGGAAAUAUUAUAGCAAAAGACUGGUUUAGUCUUUAUGUAAGACAUCAUGAAUCGUGUCCCAUAUGCUUCGGAUAUAGGAUCGAUUACAUGUGCUAUAUUCAUCCGUUCUAAAAUUUUCCAAAUGCCUGGGGCAUUAAGAAGGGAAAAGGUUUAGAACUGGAUAUGACUAAAAGGAUUAAACAAUUGUCGAGGACAAUCUAAGGUUUACCAAAGAUUGGUUGCUCAAGGACAGUUGGAAGUAUAGUGAUAAUUCUGGAAGGACCAUAUUGACAUAAUCUGUAAGGAGGCAACUCUUGUUCAGAAGUGAUAGUCAAAAUGGAAUCUGGAAAUGUUUCAAAGUUAGAAUUUUCAAUCUGUUUAAGAUUAGGAAACUUAAUGCAAGAAGGAUGUUUCCAAGGAGCUGAUCUCCUUUGGAAUACUCUGUAAUGAUUGUUGUCAAGUCUUUCUGACUUUGUGCAUAAUCAUUACAAGAGGAUCAAUGCAUAUAAGUUUAGAAUCUAACAGAUUUCAGUAAAUGGCAUGAAUUUGGAAUUCUUGCAUUUGCAGUAAGGAUUUGGGAGUGUGAAAAGAGAAUCAUUGAAGUUAUGUUCAAUUGAUCUAGUUCACAAAGUAAAGAUCAUAGACAAACAUAGUAUGCAUACUUGGUGUGUGGCAUGACUAGUGUUUAAGAAAACAUAGUGUACAUGCUUGGAGCAUGGGACAACUAUUGUUUUAAAUUCAAGAAUAAAGUUGAUAGCUGAAACAGUAUACAAUGAAUAAUGUGUAAUCAUAUGGUGAUAAAUAAAAGGUGUUUUAUUUAUGUUCAAAGAUUUGAUACCAUAUUGGAUUCAAUUAUUAUUGUGUUUCACUUUGCAUGUUUUGACUUCCCGAAUAAACUAGGUUAUUCUUCCGGAAUGACUAAGUUAUUCAAACCAUCCACAGUCGGUCAUAUGUUGGAAGUAGAUAUGAAUUAAGACUGUCAUGGGUUGGCUUGUAGAGGUCUAAGGUGUUGGACAAAGGGCUACAACACUCAUGAGUGCUCAUAAGUUCUGAGUAUUGGAUUCAACCCGCGCUCAUUGGAAUCACUUCAUGGAUUUUAUCACGAGUGAUCAUGAGACGAUAAUAUCUUAUAUUCUUCAAACCUAGAGAUAUGAGUUGUUACUAUGAGUUGGUUGUACAUUGAUUGCACGAAAACGCAUUUGGUAACUCGGUGCUAUAAAACGUGCCUUUGUGUAUGAUUCAACAAGUAGUAGAACAAGCCAUAUGAGUCGAAGUUUAUCCAUUCCUUUUACCUUCGGGAUAAAAGCGAUAUCUGUGGGCCCCUCGAUGAUUUGAUGAUGACAAAUGGAAGUGCUCGGCCGGGCCAGGACUGAUUUGAUUUGUUCAAUUAGUCAGUCGUCAUAAAUCGGAAAUCGGGAAACAACAAAUGGACAGAGAGAAUGAUUAUAAUCCAUGUCUCAGUCCAUAUGAUAUCUAGAAUGGAGGAAUAUAUGAUCCCUUAUCUAAUGGACAAGUUCGUUGACAAGAUCAGAGUUCGACAGCAGCUUUAAGAGCUACGAUUGCCAGUUAGGUUUGAAGUCAUACGCAAUAAUAGUUUUAGACUUAUCCAAGUGGGAGACUGUUGGAUUAAUGUCUAAGUCCAUAACUAUAUUUGGUAUGUACUUGACCCGACCCGGCAUGGUCCAUUUGGGUUGCACUUCACCGACACAAUUUAUAUGGAUAAUCUUUUGAGAAUAGUAUGUUUAUGAUUAAUAUUAAUAUAUUAUAAGUUCUAAUAUAUUAAUAUGGAAUCAUAUUAUUUAAUUAGUAUUGAUCAAGAAUUAAUUUAUAAUUAAUUAAGUGAUCAAAAGGAACUAAUUAAAUAUGGACUCUUAUAUAUAUGGAAUGGGCCAAGUUCAUUUAGGUUGGGCUAAGCUUUCAUGGAUAGUCCAUGGAGUGUUUAACCCAUGGAUCCUAGGAAAUGAAAGGUCAUGGGUAUUAGGGUUUAACCCUAAUCCUCCAUACUAUAUAAAGAUGUCUUUGGUUGGUGAAAUUGGCACUAGUGUAGAUACACUAAAGAAGGGCAAGCCAAUUUCACUAGAGAGAACCAAGUAAUCAUAUUCUCUAAAGUAUUCCAAGGUGUCUUGGUGAUUUGUGAUUCCACUUGAGGCUUUCACACUAUUGGGGCUAAGCUCUUAAAGCUUGAAGACAUCAAGCUACAUCAAGAGGUAUGUAUUCUAUCUUGUUACAUUCAUAGUUUUUGUAUGCUAGAUUAGGAUAAUACCUUGGAUGUUCUUAUUUGCAUGUAUAAUAGAGAAAACAUAGAUCCAAGGUAUUUAGGGUUGCAUGUAC
rnacentral:lncRNA from 1 species